rnacentral:rRNA from 1 species
GACGAACGCUGGCGGCGUGCUUAACACAUGCAAGUCGAACGAAGUGGCGAACGGGUGAGUAACGCGUAAUCAAACUGCCCUUCAGAGGGGGACAACAGUUGGAAACGACUGCUAAUACCGCAUACUGAAGGAGGGGAUUGCGUCUGAUUAGCUAGUUGGAGGGGUAACGGCCCGCCAAGGCGAUGAUCAGUAGGCGGUCGGAGGGGAAUAACUGCCAAAUGGGGAAUGGAGAACGGCCCAGAAUCCUACGGGGAGGAGCAGUGGGGAAUCUUCCGAAAUGGAGGAAAGUCUGACGGUGCAACGCCGGGGGGGUGGUGACGGCCUUCGGGUUGUAAAGCUCUGUUAAUCGGGACGCGGUACCGGAAUAGAAAGCCCCGGCUAACUACGUGCCAGCAGCCGCGGUAAUAC